AAUGCCCCUUGAGGCGUUGCAGUUCAACUCUGUGUUGCAACUGUGUCAUAAGGUGGCAAAGAGAAACUGGUGGUAGUCUGCACUGAGACUCUACAAACACACCGAGCUCUCAGAGUGAUUCUCACCACCAACAUU
rnacentral:snoRNA from 1 species